GACAGGGGGCUCGAGCGUUAAUCGGAAUCACUGGGCUUAAAGGGUGCGUAGGCGGAUCGGAAAGCGUCCUGUGAAAUCCCACGGCUCAACCGUGGAACUGCAGGGCGAACUGCCGGUCUUGAGGAAGGUAGGCGCCGACGGAACAGUAGGUGGAGCGGUGAAAUGCGUAGAUAUCUACUGGAACGCCGAUGGUGAAGACGGUCGGCUGGGCCUUUCCUGACGCUGAGGCACGAAAGCGUGGGGAGCAAACAGGAUUAGAUACCCUGGUAGUCCACGCCGUAAACGAUGCACACUAGAUCGGAGCGGCUCUGACGCCGGUUCGGUCGAAGUAAAAGCACUAAGUGUGCCGCCUGGGGAGUACGGUCGCAAGGCUAAA
rnacentral:rRNA from 1 species